UCCAAAAAUCUUCAUACCUAAAUUGCAAAAAACCUCACAAUAUUGCAAUAAAUAUUUAUUAUUCCUUACUCUUACAUCCUCGUCAACAAUAUAAUUCAACUUAUGUAGUCUUUUAAAUUCUAAACAUUUGAUUUUGUUUUAUGUAAUUUAAAUUAUAUAUAUAUAGAUGUGUAUGUAUGUGUGUGUUUUGAAGAAAAUGGAGGAUACCAAAGAUGGCAUCGAGAUCGAUUAAUCGAAAGCAGAUCGAGCGAGGGAAUUCCAAACGCCCUCGCCGUGAUUAGCAAUGUAGUUGAUGAGAAUGAGAUCUUCUUCCAUGGUCCAAGGGCCUUUCCUAACCUCGACAUCUUGACUAUUACACGGCUUUUUGUCCAUAUCGAUGAUAUAAUUGUAAUAAGGGAUUUUGCGACGAUGAAAAUAACUUGGAGGAUGUAAUAAUCGAUUGAUCGAUCGAUGUGUAUUCGAGAAGAAAUAAUGGUGAAGGAGCUUAAUUUAUAGA